GAUGAACGCUGGCGGCGUGCCUAAUACAUGCAAGUCGAGCGAACGGACGAGAAGCUUGCUUCUCUGAUGUUAGCGGCGGACGGGUGAGUAACACGUGGAUAACCUACCUAUAAGACUGGGAUAACUUCGGGAAACCGGAGCUAAUACCGGAUAAUAUUUUGAACCGCAUGGUUCAAAAGUGAAAGACGGUCUUGCUGUCACUUAUAGGUGGAUCCGCGCUGCAUUAGCUAGUUGGUAAGGUAACGGCUUACCAAGGCAACGAUGCAUAGCCGACCUGAGAGGGUGAUCGGCCACACUGGAACUGAGACACGGUCCAGACUCCUACGGGAGGCAGCAGUAGGGAAUCUUCCGCAAUGGGCGAAAGCCUGACGGAGCAACGCCGCGUGAGUGAUGAAGGUCUUCGGAUCGUAAAACUCUGUUAUUAGGGAAGAACAUAUGUGUAAGUAACUGUGCACAUCUUGACGGUACCUAAUCAGAAAGCCACGGCUAACUACGUGCCAGCAGCCGCGGUAAUACGUAGGUGGCAAGCGUUAUCCGGAAUUAUUGGGCGUAAAGCGCGCGUAGGCGGUUUUUUAAGUCUGAUGUGAAAGCCCACGGCUCAACCGUGGAGGGUCAUUGGAAACUGGAAAACUUGAGUGCAGAUUAGGAAAGUGGAAUUCCAUGUGUAGCGGUGAAAUGCGCAGAGAUAUGGAGGAACACCAGUGGCGAAGGCGACUUUCUGGUCUGUAACUGACGCUGAUGUGCGAAAGCGUGGGGAUCAAACAGGAUUAGAUACCCUGGUAGUCCACGCCGUAAACGAUGAGUGCUAAGUGUUAGGGGGUUUCCGCCCCUUAGUGCUGCAGCUAACGCAUUAAGCACUCCGCCUGGGGAGUACGACCGCAAGGUUGAAACUCAAAGGAAUUGACGGGGACCCGCACAAGCGGUGGAGCAUGUGGUUUAAUUCGAAGCAACGCGAAGAACCUUACCAAAUCUUGACAUCCUUUGACAACUCUAGAGAUAGAGCCUUCCCCUUCGGGGGACAAAGUGACAGGUGGUGCAUGGUUGUCGUCAGCUCGUGUCGUGAGAUGUUGGGUUAAGUCCUGCAACGAGCGCAACCCUUAAGCUUAGUUGCCAUCAUUAAGUUGGGCACUCUAAGUUGACUGCCGGUGACAAACCGGAGGAAGGUGGGGAUGACGUCAAAUCAUCAUGCCCCUUAUGAUUUGGGCUACACACGUGCUACAAUGGACAAUACAAAGGGCAGCGAAACCGCGAGGUCAAGCAAAUCCCAUAAAGUUGUUCUCAGUUCGGAUUGUAGUCUGCAACUCGACUACAUGAAGCUGGAAUCGCUAGUAAUCGUAGAUCAGCAUGCUACGGUGAAUACGUUCCCGGGUCU
rnacentral:rRNA from 1 species